GACGAACGCUGGCGGCGUGCCUAACACAUGCAAGUCGAACGGAGAAUUAGCAAUAAUUCUUAGUGGCGAACGGGUGAGUAACGCGUAGACAACCUACCCUUUAGACGGGGACAACACCGCGAAAGUGGUGCUAAUACCGAAUAUUGCUUGAGAAGCGCAUGCUUUUCAAACUAAAGAUGGCCUCUAUUUAUAAGCUAUCGCUAAAGAAUGGGUCUGCGUCUGAUUAGCUAGUUGGUGAGAUAAAAGCUCACCAAGGCAACGAUCAGUAGCCGGUCUGAGAGGAUGAACGGCCACACUGGGACUGAGACACGGCCCAGACUCCUACGGGAGGCAGCAGUGGGGAAUCUUCCGCAAUGGACGAAAGUCUGACGGAGCAACGCCGCGUGAGUGAUGAAGGUUUUCGGAUCGUAAAACUCUGUUGUUAAGGACGAAUGCAUAGAUUGUGAAUAAUGGUUUAUAAUGACGGUACUUAACGAGGAAGCCACGGCUAACUACGUGCCAGCAGCCGCCGUAA
rnacentral:rRNA from 1 species